GACGGGACCGCACAAGCGGUGGAUGAUGUGGUUAAUUCGAUGCAACGCGAAAACCUUACCCACCUUUGACAUGUACGGAAUCCUUUAGAGAUAGAGGAGUGCUCGAAAGAGAACCGUAACACAGGUGUUGCAUGGCUGUCGUCAGCUCGUGUCGUGAGAUGUUGGGUUAAGUCCCGCAACGAGCGCAACCCUUGUCAUUAGUUGCUACAUUCAGUUGGGCACUCUAAUGAGACUGCCGGUGACAAACCGGAGGAAGGUGGGGAUGACGUCAAGUCCUCAUGGCCCUUAUAGGUGGGGCUACACACGUCAUACAAUGGAUGGUACAAAGGGUCGCCAACCCGCGAGGGGGAGCCAAUCCCAUAAAGCCAUUCGUAGUCCGGAUCGCAGUCUGCAACUCGACUGCGUGAAGUCGGAAUCGCUAGUAAUCGUGGAUCAGAAUGUCACGGUGAAUACGUUCCCGGGUCUU
rnacentral:rRNA from 1 species